rnacentral:misc_RNA from 1 species
GUGAGGGAGGAGUUGAUCGGAGUAGGUAGGUGAGAGGAUAUAGAGCAUCUAAAGAGGACAAGAGGGAGGAUAGCAGAGUGGAGGAGGCUUCCUCAGUGGACAUUAGUGAAAAUUGGUCUGUAGAUGGUAGUGAGGAAAGAACAGUAGAGGAGAGAGCAGAGGGAGAGAGGGAUUUCAGAUUGCAGCGGGUGGUAACCGUGUGAUGGUGACCAAUGUUGAGUUUGAAAGGAAGUG